UACGUAGGGUCCGAGCGUUAAUCGGAAUUACUGGGCGUAAAGCGUGCGCAGGCGGUUUUGUAAGCCAGAUGUGAAAUCCCCGAGCUUAACUUGGGAACUGCAUUUGGGACUGCAAGGCUGGAGUACGGCAGAGGGAGGUGGAAUUCCACGUGUAGCAGUGAAAUGCGUAGAGAUGUGGAGGAACACCGAUGGCGAAGGCAAUCCCCUGGGCCUGCACUGACGCUCAUGCACGAAAGCGUGGGGAGCAAACAGG
rnacentral:rRNA from 1 species